AGAGUUUGAUUAUGGCUCAGGGUGAACGCUAGCUACAGGCUUAACACAUGCAAGUCGAGGGGCAGCAUUGAGGUUGCUUGCAACUUCAGAUGGCGACCGGCGAAUGGGUGAGUAACGCGUAUCCAACCUGCCGUGUGCUCUGGGAUAGCCCUUAGAAAUGAGGAUUAAUACGAGAUAGUCUCCUUUGAUCGCCUGAGAUUAGGAGUAAAGAUUCAUCGGCACACGAUGGGAUGCGUUCCAUUAGAUAGUUGGCGGGUAACGGCCCACCAAGUCGAUGAUGGAUAGGGGUUCUGAGAGGAACGGUCCCCCACACUGGUACUGAGACACGGACCAGACUCCUACGGGAGGCAGCAGUGAGGAAUAUUGGUCAAGUGGGCGGGAGCCUGAACCAACGCCAAGUAGCGUGAAGGAAGACCGGCCCGUACGGGUUAGUAAACUUCUUUUGUCGGGGAAUAACCGCCACUACGUGUAGUGGUCUGCAUGUACCCGGUGAAUAAGGACCGGCUAAUUCCGUGCCAGCCGCCGC
rnacentral:rRNA from 1 species